GAGUUUGAUCGUGGCUCAGGAUGAACGCUGGCGGCGUGCUUAACACAUGCAAGUCGAACGAAGCACUUAAGAACGAAUCUUCGGAGGAAGUCUUAUUUGACUGAGUGGCGGACGGGUGAGUAACGCGUGGGUAACCUGCCUCACACAGGGGGAUAACAGUUGGAAACGACCGCUAAUACCGCAUAAGCCGGAAGGAUCGCA
rnacentral:rRNA from 1 species